UCUGGCGACUGGCGCACGGGUGAGUAACACGUAUCCAACCUGCCCUUUACUCGGGGAUAGCCUUUCGAAAGAAAGAUUAAUACCCGAUAGCAUAAUGAUUCCGCAUGGUUUCAUUAUUAAAGGAUUCCGGUAAAGGAUGGGGAUGCGUUCCAUUAGGUUGUUGGUGAGGUAACGGCUCACCAAGCCUUCGAUGGAUAGGGGUUCUGAGAGGAAGGUCCCCCACAUUGGAACUGAGACACGGUCCAA
rnacentral:rRNA from 1 species